AUGAAGUGCACAGGUUGUGGCCAUGUUGCGUUUGAGAAAACGGCUAGAUUCUGCAGCCAGUGUGGACAUCAACUAGCUGCACCACCAGUCACCAAGGAGCCUGACAACACUUCUGGAAGUUCACCUAAGCCGUUAGAUCCAUCACUGGAGAGUGUGAAUGAGAAGACGGAAAUGGAGAGUGAUGUGUCAACCCUGAAUAACCGGGAAACUAACACUUCUCCGAAGCGGCCCAAUGAAGAGCCCAACAGCAACCCUAAGAAAAAGAGAAAAAAGAGGAAGAGGACCAAGAAGAAGAAGGACUCUGACCAGCUGACCUCUGACCUGUCUGACAUCUCCCUUAUGGACAGCCAUGGGAAUAGCAGGAAACAGGACGUUGCAGAGUCCUCCGACAGUGAUGCCAGCGCCAUGGACGAGACACCCAACUCACUUCAUGACACGUCUGCCUUAGUGGAGAAACCAGCCAGUGCAUCAGCAUCAUCCGCAGCACCCAGUACAAUCAGUCCAUCUGAGAACACGUCUGACAAUAAAGAUCCUCCAAGCACUACCUCGUCACAGCCUGAGGCCAGUGCAGAGAGCCAUUCUGCCGAAGGGAAAGAUCAACAGUGCAGUGAAGACAGAGACCGAUCUCAGUCACCUACAAAACAGACCUCCAAGUCGGCUCCGAAUGACACUCCUGCCUCUCUCACCGACUCGGCUGGUAAAUCCACCACCACCACCAUCCCCCCUCUUCACUCAGCCUCAGUGGUAUCGUCGAAGACCACUGACCAGAAAGCUCCAAAGGCUGCUGACGCAAAGAUCGCUGACCAGAAAGUUCCAAAGGAUGCUGACGCAACGACCACUGACCAGAAAGCUCCAAAGGCUGCUGACGCAACGACCGCUGACCAGAAAGCUCCAAAGGCUGCUGACGUAAAGAUCGCUGACCAGAAAGCUCCAAAGGCUGCUGACGUAAAGAUCGCUGACCAGAAAGCUCCAAAGGCUGCUGACGCAACGACCGCUGACCAGAAAGCUCCAAAGGCUGCUGACGUAAAGAGCACUAAGAACAAGAAAGACGUGGCCAACUCAAAGCAGACGAACCUGAACCAGAAUGCGAACGUGAACCAGAAUGCUAAGCAGAACCAGACCAGACAAGACAAACAGAAAGGGACAGAUGAUCAGCAGAACCAGGAUUCGAAGCAAACCACCGCUGGUAAUAAGAUGGUGUUUGGCACUCAGAAGAAAUCAGAGGUGGAGAGCAGAGGCUCCAGUGUGGACCCACAGGUGAAGGUGGAGAACAUGGAGGUCCAGCAGCAGCCUUCCCGUGGGGGGGGAGAUGCCUCCUCCCCUACACCACAGAGCCCAGGCGUCAAGAAAGAGAAACAGAAAGACAACAAAAGCGACGACUCUGAAACCAAGGGUCAGGAUGUUCCACCGCCAAAAAGGUAUUUACAAGUCUUGUGUUGUUCAUAACAGAAAUCACACAAUUAUAACAUGAAGAACCUAAAAGGCACACUUUUCUUGCAUUGAUCAACAUCUAUAGGUGCACAAAAGCACUUUCAAAAACACCCACAGACUCGCACAGCGCUACUAUCCACUGUUGUUUGUGUACACAAUGUUGUGUUUAUUUCCAAACACGUUUCUGAGAGAGGAAAUCCACUCUAACUACAGGUACAGAAGCAAAGUAAGUAUUCAUACUCCUUGACUUAUUCUACAUGUUGUUGUCUUCCAGCCUGAAUUCAAAAUGGUUUAAAUAGAUGUAUUUGUCUCAACAAUCUACAAACAAUACCCCAUAAUGACGUAAUAAUGUUUUUAGAAUUUUUGCAAAUUGAUUGAAAAGUAAAUACAGAAAUAUUUAAUUUACAUAAUUAUUCACACCCCUAAGUUAAUACUUUGUAGAAGUGCUGUUGGUGGCGAUUUCAGCUGUGAAUCUUUUUGGGGAAGUCUCUAAGAGCACUUCACUUGUCAAGCUCUGUCGAGUUGAUCGUUACUUGCUAGACAGCCAUUUUCAAGGCUUGCCAUACAUUUUAAAGAUGAUUUAAGCGAACUGUAACACGUUCACUCAGGAACAUUCAAUGGCGUCUUGGUAUAAUGUUAUUCCCCUUUUUUCCACCCCAAUUUCAUGGUAUCCAAUUGGUAGUAGUUACAGUCUUGUCUCAUCGCUGCAACUGCCGUACGGACUUGGGAGAGGCGAAGGUCGAGAGCCAUGUCCUCCAAAACACAACCCAAGGACCCAUGGACCUCCCGGUCGCGGUCGGCUGCGACAGAGCCUGGGCUCGAACGCAGAGUCUCUGGUGUCACAGCUAGCACUGCGAUGCAGUGCCUUGGACCACUGCGCCACCCGGGAGGCCUUCUGUUUCUUUUUAUCCCAAAAAACUCCCUAGUACUUGCCGAUGACAAGCAUACCCAUAACAUGAUGCUUCCACCACUGUGCAUUGAAAAACCUCCCAAGUCUUUGUGGUUGAAUCUGUGUUUGAAAUUCAGUACUCAAUUGUGUGGCACAGAAAUCAUGAUCACCACUAUAAUUGAACAUGGAAUGAGUACAUGCAAUUUAAGCAUAUUUUUUACUCCUGAAAUUAAUUAGGCUUUCAUAACAAAAGGUUUGAAUACUUACUGACUCAAGACAUUUCAGCUUUACAUUUUUUAUUAUUUUCUACAAACAAAAUUCCACUUUGACAUUGUGUGUGUGUGUGUGUGUGUGUGUGUGUGUGUGUGUGUGUGUGUGUGUGUGUGGAUCAGUGACAUAAUCUCAAUUGAAUCCAUUUUAAAUUUGUGCUGUAACACAACCAAAUGUGGAAAAGGUAAAGGGGUGUGAAUACUUUCUGAGUGCACUGUAUGAGGAAGGGUGGAGAUGGGGAUUGAACCCCAGUCUCCGGUGGCGGAGGUGCUUGUGCCUGGGAGUGUUACACAUUCGACCAUGGAUCAGCACAUUUUAAAUCCCUUUUAUCAGUACCGAUCACGCACACCGCCACUCAUGAUUAUACUCUGAUUUGUUUUGUUUGGUCCAAUUGCAGGAUUCCUCCAGGGAAAAAACAGCUCUCUGCAAGUGAGAGACUCACAAUCUAUUUCCACGCUGUCCUCUCGAAGGAUUUCAAGCUGAACCCGGACGAGGAUCGCAUCUUCAUCAGGGCUGGGGGGGACAUUGGGAACUGGAAAACCGAUUCCGUUGAGCUCACUGUGUCUAAGUAGGUUUUUAUAUACAUGUAUCAGCCGUCAAGACAGUUUAGCCAAAUAUGUUGAAUAUUUAUUCAAUAGGAACCUGCUUAUAAUGUUCAACAUUGUUCCCAUCUAUCUCACAUAGAAAACAACCGACUCGUGGUGGGGGUUAAAUGUAUAUGAUGUGUAACAGAGGAUAAACCAAUGCCUUACCUCCUACAGGGAUCUUGGAGAGCAUGGGUUCCUAGUCGAAGGGAGCUUGAUCACAAGCAAAUCUAAUGCAACUGUCUCCAUACCAUACAAGUACCUCGUCUACAAGCUUAAAAAGCAAAAGUACGAGUUUGAGUACAUAUACAAACUGGAUUCUAACUACCCCACCACCAACAGAUGUCUUUUUGUCAAAUCUCAUCUGCUUAAUGAAGAAGGUGGGUGCAGUUGCUAUAACAACUUCUAUAGCAGUUCUUUAUUGUAAGUCACUGAUCAUUAAAAUGUUCCAUUUUCUUCAUGUAAGUUCAAAACCUUGUUGAUUUUUAUCAUACAUCUAUUUGGUAUUGCUCGUCUAUUUUGCUCACACUGUCUUACAUGUGAGGAAAUUGUUUAAAAUGUACGCAAAUAUAUUACGCAAUGAUUUUGUUUGGUUUCAGGGGACUGGCAUCAGUAUGAUGACAUCAUCUGUGUGGAGCCAUCCAAGAACGUGCUCAAGCGGCUAAAAGACGCUUUUUGGCCGGAACAAAGGAAAAGUGUCAUUGAAGGCCGAGAAAUUGCAGGGAAAGUUAUGCUGGAGAGUAUAUUUGACCUCCUCAGGAGCUGGACUGACAUUAACUUCAAGAGUUUCCUCAAUCAGCUGAAUCAGUUUUACCAGAUCUACGGGAACCCGUUUGUCUAUGAGGAGACACACAAGAAAUGGUACUCCUUAGACUACGACGAAAAAGAUGUAAGUGAAAUUCUUAAUGUCUGUUUGGCCUUUGCUUGUUUUGCUGUCUCCUGCCCUGCCUCCCCUCUUCUGAUUUAUCCCAGUUAUUUUGUUGCUGUUAGAAGUGAAAUGAGAGCAAGCAUUUCGCUGUGUCUAUUUGCUUGACUUGUAGAAAAGAUGACACCCACUCAUAUGAUUUGAACUCUGCCCAAUAAACGUGCGGACGCUGCACAAUGCUGUAAAUGUAUUGAGGUAAUAUUGUGUGGGAAUGAUCAUUUCUAUAAUGAUUGAUGUUGUUUUUUCACAUGUAUUUUUCAUUUGGUUGUCUUAUUGUACAUUCCUUUUGUAUGUGGAAGGGAAAAGCAAAUGGAUGAGUGUUGAGUUGCAGUGUGCAACCAUCCCCAAAACAAAUCUGUUAACAUUCACUGUUUGUUCUGCCUCCCCAAGGUCAGGAAGCUGCUGAAGCAGUUCAUGCUGGAUAACGUUGUUCCUCAGCUGCAGAAGGAGGGUGAGGGGAAGAGCUGCUUCAUCCAGGACCCCAUGAGGGCAGCUGUGGUCAUGCUGUACGCGUGGAAGAAGUUCGGCCUCAAGCUGGACCACGGAGAGUCCACCCGGCUCUGCAGCACCCUGUGCUUGCCCAAGCUGCCCAAAGACUCCUUUCUGCAGUACUGGACCGACUUCGCCCAAGCCGUCUCCGGUCUCAAAAAGUGGGUUUUGGCAUCAGGAUUUCUGCUUAUUUUUUGCCUAUUGCAGACAUUAUGAUUAUUGUUUAUUUUUAUACAAGAUGUAAUCAUUUGUAUUAG
rnacentral:lncRNA from 1 species